GCUUCCCAUGGGUUUCAGAUGUGGUUCAAGGGUACCUCACACGUGGGUCCGGCACGGAUCAGUUGUGGCUCACACACGGUUCAAAUGGAAUUCAGGCAUGGCUGACACAUGACUUGUGUGCGUCACAAAUGCUACAGGAGACUUUCACACAUGAUUGAGGCAUGGCACACACAUUGUUCAGAUGCAGCUCAGCGAAGGCUCACACGUGAUGCAGGCAUGAAACAGAAGUGGGUCGCAUGUGGCUGACACACGACUCAGGCGUUUGUCACACAUGGCUCCCACAUGGCUCCCACAUGGCUGAGGUGUGGCUCAUGCAUGACUGUGGUGCUGCUCUGGCGUGGCUCACGCUUGUUGUUAGCAUGGUUGGCAAGUGGUUCAGGCCUGGCUGGCAGGUGGCUCGAGCGUGGCUGCCACAUGCUUCAUGUGAGGCUGACCUGUGGUUCAAGUGUCUCUGGCACUUGGUUCAGGCCUGGAUGGCAUGUGACUUUGGCACGGCUGAGAAGUGACUCAGGCGUGGCUCACACGUUAUUCAGGCGAGGCUGACACAUGACACAGGCGAGGUGGCCAAAGGACACAGGAGUGCCUGACACGUCACGCAGGUGUGGUUCACACAUGGUUCAUGCAUGGCCUUCGUGUGUUUCAGGCGUGGCUGGUGCACGGUUCACGCAUGGGUGGCAGGUGGUUCAGGUGAGGCUGACAUGUGACUCAGGCAUGUGUGAAACAUGACUCUGGUGAGGCUGACACAUAUCUCAGGGGUGGCUGACACAUGACUCAGUCAUGUUUCACGUGUGGCUCCCAUGUGCCUCAUGUGUGGUUCAAGCAUUGAACAUGUGUGCUUCACAAGUGCUUGACAUGUGGUUCGAGUGUGUCACAUGUGGUUCAGUCAUGGUUCAGGGAGGCUCACACGUGGUUCAGGUAGAACUCAGGUGUGGCUCAAACAUGACUCACGUGGAGGUCU
rnacentral:lncRNA from 1 species